rnacentral:rRNA from 1 species
UGAUGACGAGACGCUAAGGCGUUGAAGCAGUGUAUGUCAGACCUCCAAGAAAAGCUCGCAAUGUCACAAAUAAAAACUGCCUGUACCAUAACCGACACAGGUGGGUAGGUAGAGUAUACUAAGGGGCGCGAGAUAACUCUCUCUAAGGAACUCGGCAAAAUGACUCCGUAACUUCGGGAGAAGAAGUGCCUUAUUUAUAAGGUUGCAAUAACAAGAUCCAAGCAACUGUUUAUCAAAAACACAGGUCUCCGCUAAGUCGUAAGACGAUGUAUGGGGGCUGACGCCUGCCCAGUGCCAGAAGGUUAAAGAAGUUGGUUAGUGUAUGCGAAGCUGAUGACUGAAGCCCUGGUGAACGGCGGCCGUAACGAUAACGGUCCUAAGGUAGCGAAAUUCCUUGUCGGGUAAGUUCCGACCCGCACGAAAGGCGUAAUGAUUUGGAUACUGUCUCGGAGAGAGGCUCGGUGAAAUAGACUUGUCUGUGAAGAUGCGGACUACCUGCACCAGGACAGAAAGACCCUAUGAAGCUUUACUGUAACUUGAAAUUGGAAUUGGACUUUGCUUGCGCAGUAUAGGAGGGAAGCGUUGAAAAUAUUCUUGCGGGAGUAUUGGAGCUAUCAGUGAGAUACCACUCUUGUAAUGUUAGAUUUCUAACUUUGAACCAUAAUCUGGUCAGAGAACAGUUUCAGGUGGGCAGUUUGACUGGGGCGGUCGCCUCCCAAAUGGUAACGGAGGCGUACAAAGGUUUCCUCUGAACGGAUAGAAAUCGUAUCUAGAGUGUAAAGGCAUAAGGAAGCUUGACUGUGAGACCUACAAGUCGAGCAGGGACGAAAGUCGGUCUUAGUGAUCUGACGGUACUGAGUGGAAAGGCCGUCACUCAACGGAUAAAAGUUACUCUAGGAUAACAGGCUGAUCUCCCCCAAGAGUUCACAUCGACGGGGAGGUUUGGCACCUCGAUGUCGGCUCAUCGCAUCCUGGGGCGGUAGUACGUCCCAAGGGUUGGGCUGUUCGCCCAUGAAAGCGGUACGCGAGCUGGGUUCAGAACGUCGUGAGACAGUUCGGUCCAUAUCCGGUGUAGGCGCUAGAAUAUUGAGAGGAGCCUUCUUUAGUACGAGAGGACCGAGAAGGACACACCGCUGGUGUACCAGUUAUCGUGCCAACGGUAAACGCUGGGUAGCUAUGUGUGGAGUGGAUAACCGCUGAAAGCAUCUAAGUGGGAAGCCCACCUCGAGAUGAGUAUUCUCA